rnacentral:rRNA from 1 species
GACGGAGGAUGCAAGUGUUAUCCGGAAUCACUGGGCGUAAAGCGUCUGUAGGUGGUUUAAUAAGUCAACUGUUAAAAUCUUGAGGCUCAACCUCAAAAUCGCAGUCGAAACUAUUAGGCUAGAGUAUAGUAGGGGUAAAGGGAAUUUCCAGUGGAGCGGUGAAAUGCGUAGAGAUUGGAAAGAACACCGAUGGCGAAGGCACUUUACUGGGGCUAUUACUAACACUCAGAGACGAAAGCUAGGGUAGCAAAUGGG